CUACCCCCACAAUGCGGUAUCUCUUCCACGCUGCCUCAUGCUCUGUCUCGUCUCUCUCUCCAGAUAAUUCGUUUUCAAACAAAAGGUUAUCUGGAGUUCUUCCAAGGUGCCCUGCUGAAAAAUACUCUAAAGCGGCAGCAUUUUGGGUACAACAAGCAUGGCGGAGUGGGGAAACCUUGCGGUUAUGCAGGCGUGCAGUACCAGGAAAUCUUCUGCAAGAGGUCCAAACAGUUGAUGGUUAAGGUCUACGAGCCCUACACCACUUCCGUCAGAGUCUUAUCCAGCUGGCCGUACACCGCAGAUAGGACAAGACCAUUCAUUGAUCAAGACAGGUGGGUGUCCACCCCAAAGUUCAGCAUGUCAUGAUGACAUACACCUGUCUUGAUCAUGAGAGAAGACUUGAAAUAGACAAGAUGGCGGCGUACACAUUGUUGGAUUACUUCAUGGAGCAAUACAAGUAUUUAUUUUAAUAACAGAGCAUUUUCUAAAUUCAAGCUGACCUGAACACAAACAUUUUAUGAGACUCCUGUUUCCACAAAUUGAGGACUAAGGCAGCGUCAUUAAAUAAAACAAUAGUUCCAGGUUUGUCCUGGGGACGUCCCUGAAGACGUUUUUAGGACUUUCUUGGGAUGUUACGUCAAGGUCCCCUGAAUAUUCUUGGGACGUUGUGUCAUGGGCCCCUGGAGGCUUUUGUCUAGUUCCCGGUUUGUACUAGGGACUUCAACUGAUGGUCGCAAAGAAAGGUUCUCCCACCCACAAAACAGUGCUUUUAAUUUUACAUAUUUGACACACUUUGACAUGACUACAUUAUGUAUGUUUAUUCAUACAGUAAUUGUUGUUUAACAUGUCCUCACCUGGGAUUUUAACAUCUCUGUUCAGGGCAUUCCAAUCUUCCUGCUAUGACUGAGUUCACCUGUAGGCCUAUUCCUACACUUUGCACUUCGAAGUCAAUCUCAGCUUGGUUGAAAAUACGCUGAAGAAAAAAUAUUAUAUAUCGGACAAAAAUAUAAACGCAACAUGUAAAGUGUUGGUCGCAUGUUUCGUGACCUGAAAUAAAAGAUCGCAGACAUUUUCCAUGUGCACAAAAAAAUUCGGUCAAUUUUAAAGCAUUUUUGUCUGUAACGUCUUUUCGGUUAUGUGUUGGACCCCAGGAAGACUAACUGUCGGAUCCUAAUAAAAUAAAGUCUGAUCAUCUGAGAUGCUGUCAUCGGCGCAGAUGUCAUCCUCCUCUGGGUUGUCUUAUUGGGUCGAGGUCUUCGUCCUCCUCUAGGUCCAGGUCCCCGUCCUGCAGGUCGAUGUGUCUGAGGUAGGUAUGUCGGACUCUGGAUUGGUGACAUGGUCUGCAAGUCUCCUCAAGAAUAUUGCUGGGGGUCCCAUCUUCAGAGAGGUUCCAUCUGUCACCUUUAACUAGGAAAAUAGAACAAUACAUAUUGGAAAUGUCUAAAAUAUUAUUCAUGAAUGUGUACAGUUUUUGCAUAUAAUGUAAGACAAUGUAAAAGAGCACAUUUUCAGAUCUGAGUGAGAAUAAUAAUUGUACAUGGUAGUAAAUCAAGAAUGUAUGCUCUGAGAAACUGCCACGUACGUUUAGGGUAUUAAAACAACUAAGGAAAGUCAAAUGACAAGCAAGACAGUUCAUUUUCUCUGACGUUACUCCUCAAGUGGCACUCCUCAAGUAGAAUCUUUCCAAUUCCAGACAGCUUUUUUGAAACCUAUGCUAAGACUAUGCUAUUAGUUUAGCGAUUAUGUUAUUGAUAAGAUGUGAAGACACAAUGUACAUACAUACCCUCUCCUCUAAUGCCCAGUUGAGAGAAUGCCAAGAGUGUGCAACGCUGUCAUCAAGGCAAAGGGUGGCUACUUUGAAGAACCUCAAAUAUAUAAUAUGUAGGUCGGUCCUAACUUUUGACUGGUACUGUAAAUUAUUAUAAUAAUAAUAAUAAUAAUGUGCAGUUUCAAAGAAUUUACACUACACUGCAUAACUUAUGCUUGCAGACAGGUUCUUCUUUGGUGUUUCAAUGAACACAGCUCAUCAUUACUGUCUUCCAUUGUUUCUGUUAUGGAAAAUACAAAGCUAAAUUGA